CAGUAGCCGCGGGAAUACGGAGGGGGCUAGCGUUGUUCGGAAUUACUGGGCGUAAAGCGCGCGUAGGCGGUUACUCAAGUCAGAGGUGAAAGCCCGGGGCUCAACCCCGGAACUGCCUUUGAAACUAGGUAACUAGAAUCUUGGAGAGGUCAGUGGAAUUCCGAGUGUAGAGGUGAAAUUCGUAGAUAUUCGGAAGAACACCAGUGGCGAAGGCGGCCCACUGGACGUGUAUUGACGCUGAGGUGCGAAAGCGUGGGGAGCAAACAGGAUUAGAUACCCGGGUAGUCCCUGUCUCUUAUAC
rnacentral:rRNA from 1 species